GUAGUCCACGCCGUAAACGAUGAUUACUAGGUGUGGGGGGACUGACCCCUUCCGUGCCGCAGCAAACGCAAUAAGUAAUCCACCUGGGGAGUACGACCGCAAGGUUGAAACUCAAAGGAAUUGACGGGGGCCCGCACAAGCAGUGGAGUAUGUGGAUUAAUUCGAAGCAACGCGAAGAACCUUACCAGGUCUUGACAUCGUAUGCAUAGCUCAGAGAUGAGUGAAAUCUCUUCGGAGACAUAUAGACAGGUGGUGCAUGGUUGUCGUCAGCUCGUGUCGUGAGAUGUUGGGUUAAGUCCCGCAACGAGCGCAACCCUUACUGUUAGUUGCUACGCAAGAGCACUCUAGCA
rnacentral:rRNA from 1 species